rnacentral:lncRNA from 1 species
UGUAGCUCCGUGUGCAGGCCCUGGGUUCAAUCCCCAGUAGUCCAAAAGCAAAGCAAGUCACAUGUGAGCUGCUGGACACCCAACUAGUGUGGCACUGUGGCAGAGGCAGAGAGUGGCUAACAGCACAGCCUCUGGCCCCAGAAAGGCUGCUGUCUCGUGGGUGGAUGAGAUGCAGGAUGCCGGGAAGGAUCGCACCCAGGCCAGGAGGCAGUGGUCCUGGCCUAGUCACUCAGGUGGCCUUUUCUUCCCAAACAGAGUUACCGGCACAGAAGAGCCAGAGUGCAUGAUCCAGAGGCUGGGAGGGAGCCUGCCAUCGAGAGUGAUGAGCUCCUGGAGUUACUCACCAAAUGACCUCGUCCUACAUGUGACAAGCAAAGCUUAUUUUCCCCUCGUCAAUAAAGACUUUCUCAUCUCCUGUUACCUUUGCUGCCUUGUGUGCACCAUGCUGUUUCUGCUCUGCCAUGCCUAUUUGUCAUCCCUGCCUUGCAGUCUGCUGAAUGUGGAAUGAAACUUUUUUUUACAUGUUAAAAUAAGACAUUUAUUAUGCUAAAGAACAGAUUUUAUUCUCCAGUUUCCCAAAACACUAAAAUAAGCACACAGCGUAGUAAUUUCAUACACACUACAAAGUGAUGUAUGCACUCAUUCCCAAAAUGACUAUCUUAAGCUUCACUUUGGGAGUCCUUAAAAACUUACACUCUUAGCUGAUCUUUAUUAAAGUUAUCAACAAACAAGUUACUUCAGAAAAGUCCUCGUG